UGAGAGGCAGUAGAAUAAACAGA
rnacentral:piRNA from 1 species